AUUGAACGCUGGCGGCAUGCCUUACACAUGCAAGUCGAACGGUAACGGGCCUUCGGGUGCCGACGAGUGGCGAACGGGUGAGUAAUGUAUCGGAACGUACCUCUCAGUGGGGGAUAACGUAGCGAAAGUUACGCUAAUACCGCAUAUUCUGUGAGCAGGAAAGCAGGGGAUCGCAAGACCUUGCGCUUAUUGAGCGGCCGAUAUCAGAUUAGCUAGUUGGUGAGGUAAAGGCUCACCAAGGCGACGAUCUGUAGCGGGUCUGAGAGGAUGAUCCGCCACACUGGAACUGAGACACGGUCCAGACUCCUACGGGAGGCAGCAGUGGGGAAUUUUGGACAAUGGGGGCAACCCUGAUCCAGCCAUGCCGCGUGAGUGAAGAAGGCCUUCGGGUUGUAAAGCUCUUUCGGCCGGGAAGAAAUCGUAUCAGCUAAUACCUGGUGCGGAUGACGGUACCGGCAUGAGAAGCACCGGCUAACUACGUGCCAGCAGCCGCUGUAAUAC
rnacentral:rRNA from 1 species